UCCCGGCACGGGGAGGUAGUGACGAAAAAUAACGAUACGGGACUCAUCCGAGGCCCCGUAAUCGGAAUGAGUACACUUUAAAUCCUUUAACCAGGAUCAAUUGGAGGGCAAGUCUGGUGCCAGCAGCCGCGGUAACACCAGCUCCAAUAGCGUAUAUUAAAGUUGUUGCGGUUAAAAAGCUCGUAGUUGAAUCUGUGUCCCACACUGUCGGUUCACCGCUCGCGGUGUUCAACUGGCAUGUCUGUGGGACGUCCUACCGGUGGGCGCAGCCCGUCAAAAGGCGGCCCAACUCAAAAUCCUACCACGGUGCUCUUCACCGAGUGUCGAGGUGGGCCGGUACGUUUACUUUGAACAAAUUAGAGUGCUUAAAGCAGGCUCAUUCGCCUGAAUAUUCUGUGCAUGGAAUAAUAGAAUAGGACCUCGGUUCUAUUUUGUUGGUUUUCGGAACUCCGAGGUAAUGAUUAAUAGGGACAACUGGGGGCAUUCGUAUUGCGACGUUAGAGGUGAAAUUCUUGGAUCGUCGCAAGACGGACAGAAGCGAAAGAAAUGUGUUUUCAUCAAUCAAGAACGAAAGUUAGAGGUUCGAAGGCGAUCAGAUACCGCCCUAGUUCUAACCAUAAACUAUGCCAGCUAGCGAUCCGCCGAAGUUCCUCCGAUGACUCGGCG
rnacentral:rRNA from 1 species